rnacentral:rRNA from 1 species
GAUGAACGCUGGCGGCGUGCCUAAUACAUGCAAGUCGAGCGAACAGACGAGGAGCUUGCUCCUCUGACGUUAGCGGCGGACGGGUGAGUAACACGUGGAUAACCUACCUAUAAGACUGGGAUAACUUCGGGAAACCGGAGCUAAUACCGGAUAAUAUUUUGAACCGCAUGGUUCAAUAGUGAAAGACGGUUUUGCUGUCACUUAUAGAUGGAUCCGCGCCGCAUUAGCUAGUUGGAAGGUAACGGCUUACCAAGGCAACGAUGCGUAGCCGACCUGAGAGGGUGAUCGGCCACACUGGAACUGAGACACGGUCCAGACUCCUACGGGAGGCAGCAGUAGGGAAUCUUCCGCAAUGGGCGAAAGCCUGACGGAGCAACGCCGCGUGAGUGAUGAAGGUCUUCGGAUCGUAAAACUCUGUUAUUAGGGAAGAACAAAUGUGUAAGUAACUAUGCACGUCUUGACGGUACCUAAUCAGAAAGCCACGGCUAACUACGUG